rnacentral:tRNA from 1 species
AGCUGCUUUUCCUGGGGACCUUUUGUCUUGAAAACAAAUUUUGGGUGUUCGAGUCACCCAGUAGCUU